CCUACGGGUGACAGCAGUGGGGGAUAUUGCACAAUGGGGGGCACCCUGAUGCAGCGACGCCGCGUGGGUGAAGAAGCGCCUCGGCGCGUAAAGCCCUGUCAGCAGGGAAGAAAAUGACGGUAUCUGAAGAAGAAGCCCCGGCUAACUACGUGCCAGCAGCCGCGGUAAUACGUAGGGGGCAAGCGUUCUCCGGAUUUACUGGGUGGAAAGGGGGCGCAGACGGCGAUGCAAGCCAGGAGUGAAAGCCCGGGGCCCAACCCCGGGACUGCUCUUGGAACUGCGUGGCUGGAGUGCAGGAGGGGCAGGCGGAAUUCCUGGUGUAGCGGUGAAAUGCGUAGAUAUCAGGAGGAACACCGGUGGCGAAGGCGGCCUGCUGGACUGCAACUGACGUUGAGGCCCGAAAGCGUGGGGAGCAAACAGGAUUAGAUACCCUUGUAGUC
rnacentral:rRNA from 1 species